UCAACACAGGAGUUAAGGUAUAUUUUGGACACAGAGGCACAGACUGACGCACAGAUGGGUGUUUUGCAGAGGGAUUCGAUUAGACAUUACAGACCAGAUGGAGAUCUUGUUGGAAGCACUGGGGUCAGCAAACUGCUUAAGCCCCUCAGUCACUGUCUCAUACUGACAGACUGAUAGAUGUACCCAGCUUUGGAACAGGAAGUCAUUGCCCCGACUGGUGAAACGGAUGGUGCUAAGGGACGUCCGGGUGUCUAACUGAAAGCUCCUCACCACUCAGUUCAAUGAUCGACAUGCUGAUCCCACAUAAACUCAUGAAGUUAGCCUGUGUGUGUGUGCCAUAUGCACUUAGCGACGAGGUUAGAGUGCAGGCCUCAUUAGCAUGUAUAAACUCCCAGUGUCAAGAGGUCGCCUUUGACCCUAACACACAAAAUCUUGCUCAAAACAUGGCUGACACAAAGUAUGCAUCCAUGUGGAUGAGGCAUGUGCACUGCUGGGCUAGUGGUUAUAAAUACUCAACAUUGUAAAAGUAGGUUUAAAUCCCUUCAUUGCUUUAAACAUGAUGUUUCAUAAUAUCCAGUAAAGACUGAUUAUCAAUCGGUGUGUUCAUUUUUUGCUUCAUUUUUUGCUUUGAAAUAAUAGAUAAAAGAAAAAUAAAUCAAUAAAUUACUAAACAUGUACAAACAUUUCUAAUGGUGCCAUGCAAUAAGUAAAUUCUCUUUCUUUUCUGUAUUUAUUUACGUGAUUACAUCGCUAAAUAGAUGGAAAAUGUGUCGCAGCGAAAUGGUUUCCUCUGACCGCUUAUGACUCGCUUACAGCAGACUUACAGAAAUCCUUCACUGUCCAACAGUUGCUUCACAACUUUAAGUCACUUAAUCGAUUGAUGGCUACAUGGCAGCAGUAUUUCCAACAACUCCGGUUGACAUUAUAGGGGCUUACACACAGAAAAAAAAAAAAAAAACACUGCUUCAUGCUUAAAAAAGAUCACCGGAGAGGCGAUGUCCCUUCGGUGGCAGUCCAGCACAAUGUGUUCCAGUUCACUUUCAUCAUGUUGUACCAGCUGAACAUGGUGUAGCUUUCAGCCCUUCCCUGUGGGAAACCAGCCUG